AUGUGCAUUUACCAUAUGAAAUUUGAAAUGCUCAAAAAUGCAAAAUUGACUGGUCUGAUGGACACAGGAUGGCUGAGCAGUGAUAGUUGUACAUUUCCAUCACCUGUUGUGUUGAUUUCAUCAUGUCCAUUUGUUUAUGUUUUCUCACUUUUGCAAAGUCACUGUGCAUUUGCAAUAUGGUUCAAUGGGCAGGUACCAUCACGAAUUUGUCAUGCUAUAAAAAUCCUGCAGGAAUGUGAAAUUGACUGGUCUGAUGAACACAGGAUGGCCGAGCAGUGAUAGUUGUACAUUUCCAUCACUUGUUGUGUUGAUUUCAUCAUGUCCAUUAGGUGAUGUUUUUUCACUAUAGAAUCAUAUUGCAAAUGCACGUGCAUUGUUGUGCAACUGGUAACCCAAAAUUAAAAUAUGGUUGUAAAUGCAUUUACCGGUCAUUCUGAUAUUAAUGCUCGCUAUGGGAACACAGGAUGGCCGGGCAGUGAUAGUUGUACAUUUCCAUCACUCGUUGUGUUGAUUUCAUCAUGUCCAUUAGGUGAUGUUUUUACACUAUAGAAUCAUAUUGCAAGUGCGCGCGCAUUUGCAAUAUGUUUCAAUGUGCAUUUACCAUAUGAAAUUUGACAUGCUCAAAAAUGCAAAAUUGACUGGUCUGAUGGACACAGGAUGGCCGAGCAGUGAUAGUUGUACAUUUCCAUCACUCGUUGUGUUGAUUUCAUCAUGUCCAUUAGGUGAUGUUUUUUCACUAUAGAAUCAUAUUGCAAAUGCACGUGCAUUGUUGUGCAACUGGUAACCCAAAAAUAAAAAUAUGGUUGUAAAUGCA